CGAGCCUUAACACUGCAGCACCGUCAAUUUGAGAAACAAAUUUAUGACUAUCCCGGUUUUGGAGUUCAGUUGACAAAUAUUUUGAACGUUUGAACGCCAAAGAGAUAUGGCUUUAGAAUAUAUAUUAUCUUCAUCUGAAGAUGAAGAUUUUGAAAACUUAAUUUAUCGAUGGCCAAGAAAUAUAAGAAGACGACCAUCAUAUUUGGAAGAAUUUGAUAAUGUCGAUUUUCAUGCAUGAUUUAGAUUAUCAAAAGAAUCUGUUAUUGCAGUUCUAGCAGAAAUCGAGCAUGAAAUUUCUCAUAAAACAGAACAAAACAAUGCUAUAUCUCCAAUGGACCAGCUUCUCUUGACAUUAAGGUUUUACGUAACUGGAUGUCAUUUGUUGUCAGCAGGAGAUUUUUCUGGAUUUUUAUUCAUCGUGUAACUGCUGCUAUUGCUCGUCUUCGACCAAGAUAUAUAAAGUUUCCUACAACUGCUGAAGAAAUAAAAAAGAAACAAAUAAAGUUUUUUGAUAUUACACGAUUUCCAAGAGUAAUAGGUUGUAUAGAUUGCACUCACAUUAAAAUACAAUCAUUUGGUGGAAAUGACGCUGAAUAUUUAAAAAAUAGAAAGGGUAUUUCAGAAAUAGAAAGGAUAUUUUUCUAUAAAUGUACAAGCAAUAUGCAAUGUAAAUUUGGAAAUAACUGAUAUUGUAGCUCGCUGGUAAAGAUCAGUGCAUGACGCUACAAUAUUUAACAAUUCCAGGAUACGUGCCUUAUUCGAAGCUGGAACAUUUGAAAAUUCUUUGUUAUUAGGUGACGGUGGUUAUGUUGUUUGUUCAUAUUUUAUGACACCUUUACAAAAUCCACAAACUCGUGCAGAGCAGUUAUAUAAUGAAUCGCAUAUACGAACACGCAAUACUACCGAGCGUGUAAUCGGAAUAUGGAAAAGAUUUCCCAUUUUAGCAUUUGGGUCCCGAUUUCAAACAGUAGAUAAAGUAUUAUCUAUGAUUGUUGCAACUGCUGUAUUAUAUAACAUUGCUCGACGUACUGGAGAUCCAUUACCUCCAAAUGAUUUAGAAUCACAAUGGGAAGAUAUUAUAGAAAAUGGAAAUAUACGUUGUAGAAAUGAUGGACGCGGUAAUAAUAAUAGCAUGCAGAUUGUAUUAAUCAACGAUUAUUUUCAAAGAUUAUUAUAGAAUAAUCUGUUUCGGUGCCUCUUACCAAAGAAAGAAUGAGAAAAAAUACGGA